CAGUCGAGGGGCAGCAUGGUCUUAGCUUGCUAAGGCCGAUGGCGACCGGCGCACGGGUGAGUAACACGUAUCCAACCUGCCGUCUACUCUUGGACAGCCUUCUGAAAGGAAGAUUAAUACAAGAUGGCAUCAUGAGUUCACAUGUUCACAUGAUUAAAGGUAUUCCGGUAGACGAUGGGGAUGCGUUCCAUUAGAUAGUAGGCGGGGUAACGGCCCACCUAGUCUUCGAUGGAUAGGGGUUCUGAGAGGAAGGUCCCCCACAUUGGAACUGAGACACGGUCCAAACUCCUACGGGAGGCAGCAGUGAGGAAUAUUGGUCAAUGGGCGCAGGCCUGAACCAGCCAAGUAGCGUGAAGGAUGACUGCCCUAUGGGUUGUAAACUUCUUUUAUAAAGGAAUAAAGUCGGGUAUGUAUACCCGUUUGCAUGUACUUUAUGAAUAAGGAUCGGCUAACUCCGUGCCAGCAGCCGCGGUAAUACGGAGGAUCCGAGCGUUAUCCGGAUUUAUUGGGUUUAAAGGGAGCGUAGAUGGAUGUUUAAGUCAGUUGUGAAAGUUUGCGGCUCAACCGUAAAAUUGCAGUUGAUACUGGAUAUCUUGAGUGCAGUUGAGGCAGGCGGAAUUCGUGGUGUAGCGGUGAAAUGCUUAGAUAUCACGAAGAACUCCGAUUGCGAAGGCAGCCUGCUAAGCUGCAACUGACAUUGAGGCUCGAAAGUGUGGGUAUCAAACAGGAUUAGAUACCCUGGUAGUCCACACGGUAAACGAUGAAUACUCGCUGUUUGCGAUAUACUGCAAGCGGCCAAGCGAAAGCGU
rnacentral:rRNA from 1 species